rnacentral:rRNA from 1 species
AUUGAACGCUGGCGGCAGGCCUAACACAUGCAAGUCGAGCGGAUGAGAGGAGCUUGCUCUUUGAUUUAGCGGCGGACGGGUGAGUAAUGCCUAGGAAUCUGCCUGGUAGUGGGGGACAACGUUUCGAAAGGAACGCUAAUACCGCAUACGUCCUACGGGAGAAAGUGGGGGAUCUUCGGACCUCACGCUAUCAGAUGAGCCUAGGUCGGAUUAGCUAGUUGGUGAGGUAAUGGCUCACCAAGGCGACGAUCCGUAACUGGUCUGAGAGGAUGAUCAGUCACACUGGAACUGAGACACGGUCCAGACUCCUACGGGAGGCAGCAGUGGGGAAUAUUGGACAAUGGGCGCAAGCCUGAUCCAGCCAUGCCGCGUGUGUGAAGAAGGUCUUCGGAUUGUAAAGCACUUUAAGUUGGGAGGAAGGUCAGUAGCUUAAUACGUUGCUGAUUUGACGUUACCGGCAGAAUAAGCACCGGCUAACUCUGUGCCAGCCGCCGCCGUAAAAC